UAUCUCUGUAGAGUCUGCAUAUCAAUAAGCGGAGGAAAAGAAACUAACAAGGAUUCCCUUAGUAACGGCGAGUGAAGCGGGAAGAGCUCAAAUUUGAAAUCUUCAAGGUUUUACCUUGACGAAUUGUAGUUUAAAGAAGUGUUUUCUGUUGAAGUUUCGGUAAAAGUUCUUUGGAAUAGGACAUCAUAGAGGGUGAGAAUCCCGUAUUUGACCGUUAUUUUCAGCUGUGUGAUACACUUUCAAAGAGUCGGAUUGUUUGGGAGUGCAGUCCAAAAUGGGUGGUAAAUUUCAUCUAAGCUAAAUAUUGGCGAGAGACCGAUAGCGAACAAGUACCGUGAGGGAAAGAUGAAAAGAACUUUGAAAAGAGAGUUAAACAGUACGUGAAAUUGUCAAAAGGGAAGCGUUUGACACCAGUGUUGUUUUCUCGAAAAUCAAUUAAAAAUGGCUUGAUUUUGUGUUGUAUUGACCUUAAAAGCUUUCUUCACUUUUUUCAUGUCUUUUUUAAUGCACUUUUCGUUUAACAAGUCAACAUCAGUUUCUUUUGUUGUAAAAAGGUCAUUGGAAGGUGGCUUUCUUUUCGGAGAAAGUGUUUAUAGCCUUUGACUUCUGCAAUCGGAGAGACUGAGGUCUGCAGCGUAGAUCCUUCUGGAUUAGAUUCAUUUGUGCUAAGUUACAACCGUUUAUAGACAACUUGUUGACUAUAUUCGAUCCUGUAGCUUACUCGCUUAUGUAAUUUUACCUACGCUUAGGAUGUUGAAGAUGUAGCACAUCAU
rnacentral:rRNA from 1 species